CUAUAGAUAAAAUAUCUAUCUUCAAUAAAAAUAUAAUAAAAGUCCUAUCGCUUUCACAAUAAUUUUAAAAAGGGAAUAUAUUGCAAUCUCCACACAGCAUGAACAAAUGACCGAUGUGGGAAAUAGAAGAUCCAUUGAAAUCUUAUGUAUCAAAUGUACCGUAAAACAAUUCUAUUUCUAUUAGCAUAUGAUUAAAAAGUACUUAGCAGAAUAUUUUAAAUUGUUCAAGAUAUAUCAGAGUUCUUUGUAGCAAAAUGUUUUUUCUUUGUGCAAAUUUAUACAUUAUACAAUAGUUGUAUUAAACAAUGACAAAAUCUUUGGUAAUUUUGAAAUAUUCUGCAUUAUAUGCUAGAUAUAUUUUGUAUUAUUUUUUAGAUACUGAUGCAUUAUAAAUUAAAUACAAGGGAUCGAUAUUCUAUUCUAAAUAAAAUCUAGAAAAAUAUAUACGCAAUCCACAGUACUAUCUCUGUAGACAUAAUAAAGAAAAAUUCAGCUUUUUCUUAAAUUGCAGUUUUUUUAUCAACAAGUUUACAGCCAUGUGGGAAAGUCGAUUUAAUGAACUCAGUUCUUCUUCAUCCUAAUAACAGUUUAGUUUAACGUUUGGUACGAGGAUACUGAAAUUUAAUGAAAUGUAUACAUUAUUCACAUUAUUGUCAAGAAAAAUCUAUGGAUUUUGUUUUAUAUAUAUACAUAUAUAAAACAAAAAUAUUAAUAUAAGAAAUUUGCUAGCUGAAAUGUAACGAAAAAAGCAGUUUUGUAAUAUGACAUAAAUGGAAUAGAUGUAGUUUUCGAAGUUUCAAAAGUUUUAAGUAAAAACCAGAAUGAAA